CACAGGUUACACCUGACCCUGGGGUAGGAGAGACACAGGUUACACCUGACCCUGGGGUAGGAGAGACACAGGUUACACCUGACCCUGAGGUAGGAGAGACACAGGUUACACCUGACCCCGAGGUAGGAGAGACACAGGUUACACCUGACCCCGAGGUAGGAGAGACACAGGUUACACCUGACCCCGAGGUAGGAGAGACACAGGUUACACCUGACCCCGAGGUAGGGGAGACACAGGUUACACCUGACCCCGAGGUAGGGGAGACACAGGUUACACCUGACCCCGAGGUAGGGGAGACACAGGUUACACCUGACCCCGAGGUAGGGGAGACACAGGUUACACCUGACCCCGAGGUAGGGGAGACACAGGUUACACCUGACCCCGAGGUAGGGGAGACACAGGUUACACCUGACCCCGAGGUAGGGGAGACACAGGUUACACCUGACCCCGAGGUAGGGGAGACACAGGUUACACCUGACCCCGAGGUAGGGGAGACACAGGUUACACCUGACCCCGAGGUAGGGGAGACACAGGUUACACCUGACCCCGAGGUAGGGGAGACACAGGUUACACCUGACCCCGAGGUAGGGGAGACACCGGUUACAUGACUUUACAGUCAUGUGUCUACCAUAAACACCUCUCUGAUCAGACAGGAUUUGUAUGUGAUUAUAAUUAUCUUCAUAUUGCUCCCGAGUGGCGCGGUGUUCUGCAUCUCAGUGCUAGGUGUGUCACUACAGACACCCUGGUUCGAAUCCAGGCUCUAUCACAGUAGGCCGUGAUUGGGAGUCCCAUAGGGUGGCGCACAAUAGGCCCGGCGUCGCCGGGUUAGGCCGUUGUUGUAAAAUAAGAAUUUGUUCUUAACUGCCAUGCCUUUGAUAAGGCGGCAGGUAGCCUAGUGGUUGGAGCGCUGUGCCAGUAACCCAAGCCGGCAAGGUAAAACAAAAUCUAUGUGCCCUUGAGCAAGGCACUUAACCCUAAUUGUUCCAGGGUUGCUGUUGUAUCAGGUGUGUCCUUGCUGCCAACGCUCACUAAUCCUGUUUCAUUCUUUAGUUAUCAAUGGCUGACCCUGGCCGUGACCCCACUCUGUGAGGGGGUCUCAGGAGGAGAUGGGAGGGAAAAAAAAUCUAAUUCACACAUGUAUAAUAUAUUCUUGUACAUUUGUGAAAUGGGACAAAUGUAAACACCCAAAUGAUUAUUGUCUUAUAACAGACGAGGAUGCUUAAAUGUAUGGCUCCAUAGUAAUGUAAAUAUGAAGCCUAUACAUUUUUCAGCUAGAUUGUUUUGGGUCUGUCAUAGUUUUCUGCUGUUUGAUCGUUGCUGACUGUAGACUGUGUGUUCCUGGGGGAUGCCGUUGACAGCCCUACUGGUGUGUGUUAUUGA